rnacentral:rRNA from 2 species
UUCCUAACGGGAGGCAGCAGUGGGAAAUUUUACGCAAUGGGCGAAAGCCUGACGGAGCAAUACCGCGUGAGGGAGGAAGGCUCUUGGGUUGUAAACCUCUUUUCUCAGGGAAGAAUAAUGACGGUACCUGAGGAAUAAGCAUCGGCUAACUCCGUGCCAGCAGCCGCGGUAAUACGGAGGAUGCAAGCGUUAUCCGGAAUUAUUGGGCGUAAAGCGUCUGUAGGUGGAUAUUCAAGUCUGCUGUCAAAGACCGGGGCUCAAGCCUGGAAAGGCAGUGGAAACUGAAGAUCUAGAGUGCGGUAGGGGCAGAGGGAAUUCCCAGUGUAGCGGUGAAAUGCGUAGAGAUUGGGAAGAACACCGGUGGCGAAAGCGCUCUGCUGGGCCUGCACUGACACUGAGGGACGAAAGCUAGGGGAGCGAAUGGGAUUAGAUACCCCAGUAGUCCUAGCCGUAAACGAUGGAUUAUAGGCGUAGCUUGUAUCGACCCAAGCUGUGCCGUAGCUAACGCGGUAAGUAUCAACGGCUGGGGAAGCCCCAAAGGGGGG